rnacentral:lncRNA from 1 species
ACAACACAAUGCACUAGGUUGAAUAUUGAGCGUGUGUUGAUAUUGUACAAAGAAGUGAAUUGGAGUGGCGAGUUGGCAAUAUCCAGUGACUUGUUAGGAUUUGGUGAGUAGAUUAUACGGAUAGUCAUGGUAAGGAUUUAGGAUUAGUUGAAAGUUGGCAAUAUCCAGUGACUUGUUAGGAUUUUUACCAUUUUACUUUAUCUGCCCUGUGUGCUUGAACUGAUUUCAGAGUUCCAUCCCCAUCAUGGUUCCUUUCCUUCCUUC